UGUGUGAUCCUCCUGAAAAUCAGAAGUCACAAUUUGAGUGCAGGAAAAAGGGGGCACUCUUUGGAUGAUAAAGCCCAGAUCAUAAAAACAACAAUGAAAUGGCUGACAGUGUCUACAUAAUGAGGAUGCAUCCUGACAGCACCAUAUUUACACAGUUCUUGAAGUUCAUGACCUCAAAUGAGUAAAAGUAAUCCUCUCUCCUUGAUCAUCUAUAUCAAUCCUUGGAAAACUUUCUGGCUUCCCUUGAAUCACCUGCCCAUCCUUGGACCAAUCACUGUGUUUGAGAAGGAGUACAAUACUCUUGCUGGCCAGCCUGAGUAACAGGUUCACUCCUAGGACAGAUAAGGAGUAUCUUUGGAGGGCCCCCGAGGUGACUCCUCAGGAAUGAGUAUGGGAGAACAAAGGAGAAUAGCAGAGAGAAUGGGAGACAAGG